CGGACCAAACUCCUACGGGAGGCAGCAGUGAGGAAUAUUGGUCAAUGGCCGAGAGGCUGAACCAGCCAAGUCGCGUGAAGGAAGAAGGAUCUAUGGUUUGUAAACUUCUUUUAUAGGGGAAUAAAGUGGAGGACGUGUCCUUUUUUGUAUGUACCCUAUGAAUAAGCAUCGGCUAACUCCGUGCCAGCAGCCGCGGUAAUACGGAGGAUGCGAGCGUUAUCCGGAUUUAUUGGGUUUAAAGGGUGCGUAGGUGGUGAUUUAAGUCAGCGGUGAAAGUUUGUGGCUCAACCAUAAAAUUGCCGUUGAAACUGGGUUACUUGAGUGUGUUUGAGGUAGGCGGAAUGCGUGGUGUAGCGGUGAAAUGCAUAGAUAUCACGCAGAACUCCGAUUGCGAAGGCAGCUUACUAAACCAUAACUGACACUGAAGCACGAAAGCGUGGGGAUCAAACAGGAUUAGAUACCCUGGUAGUCCACGCAGUAAACGAUGAUUACUAGGAGUUUGCGAUACAAUGUAAGCUCUACAGCGAAAGCGUUAAGUAAUCCACCUGGGGAGUACGCCGGCAACGGUGAAACUCAAAGGAAUUGACGGGGGCCCGCACAAGCGGAGGAACAUGUGGUUUAAUUCGAUGAUACGCGAGGAACCUUACCCGGGUUUGAACGUAGUCUGACCGGAGUGGAAACACUCUUUCUAGCAAUAGCAGAUUACGAGGUGCUGCAUGGUUGUCGUCAGCUCGUGCCGUGAGGUGUCGGCUUAAGUGCCAUAACGAGCGCAACCCUUAUCACUAGUUACUAACAGGUGAAGCUGAGGACUCUGGUGAGACUGCCAGCGUAAGCUGUGAGGAAGGUGGGGAUGACGUCAAAUCAGCACGGCCCUUACAUCCGGGGCGACACACGUGUUACAAUGGCAUGGACAAAGGGCAGCUACCUGGUGACAGGAUGCUAAUCUCCAAACCAUGUCUCAGUUCGGAUCGGAGUCUGCAACUCGACUCCGUGAAGCUGGAUUCGCUAGUAAUCGCGCAUCAGCCAUGGCGCGGUGAAUACGUUCCCGGGCC
rnacentral:rRNA from 2 species